rnacentral:misc_RNA from 1 species
GAAAUGCGAUAAGUAAUGUGAAUUGCAGAAUUCAGUGAAUCAUCGAGUCUUUGAACGCACAUUGCGCCCCCUGGUAUUCCGGGGGGCAUGCCUGUCCGAGCGUCAUUGCUGCCCUCAAGCACGGCUUGUGUGUUGGGCUCUCGUCCCCCCGGGGACGGGCCCGAAAGGCAGCGGCGGCACCGCGUCCGGUCCUCGAGCGUAUGGGGCUUCGUCACCCGCUCUGCAGGCCCGGCCGGCGCUGGCCGACCCCGAUCAAUCUUCUUUCCAGGUUGACCUCGGAUCAGGUAGGGAUACCCGCUGAACUUAA